GCAGCCGCGGCAGCUGGAGUCGGAGGGGGGGGACGAUUUCAAAAAAUAAUUAAAAAUCGAGGAAAUAUCCUAGAAAAGCCCUUUUGGCGUGAAAACCCCAAAGAGGAUCCAGGCUUCCCAAAACGGAGGUUUUGGGUGACGGGAAGGUCUGUAUCUCGACCCCUGGGGCUUUGGAUCCCGAGGGGAAACUUGAAGGAGUGAAGCCGCGCGGGAGUGUCCGGCUGCGGCCCACAAGGGCAGAGACUAGGAACGUGGUGCCCAGUUGGAGGAAAGACGGGAACAGGGAGCCCCGGAAAGAGAAAGUGGGGGGCUCUGACCUCUUAUUUAGGGGUGCCCCGAAAUUCCCCCUACACACACCUCCUCCCUCCCCCCAUCCUACCCCACCCAAAUCUCCGCACUGAAGAAGCUGGAAAACCAAACUAUGGGAAUCCUACUCUGUUGCCCAGGCUGGUUUCAAACUAUUGGACUCAAGCAACCUUCCUGCCUCAGCCUCCAGAAUAGCUGGGAUGACAGUCAUGCACCACAGUGCCCAACUCCAAAUCUUUUGAGAAGUGUUUGGAACUGAGAGACUUCAGGGAGAAAACACAUUUCAUAAAAGUGAUGCAACCAAAACACUUUAUUAACUACUCUUCUUUCUUCUGUCUUCUAUUUAUAAGAGAAGUUGCAAUAAAACAGGCUCCUACAAAGACCACUAUUGAACAUGCAUCUUUUAGAAGGUUCUGAGGCAUCAGUGUAGACUCAAUUUCACCUCUACCCUUCUGUCUACAUCUCCAAUCCCAGAUGGUGAGAGUCCAUGCCUGUGGUAACUUCUGGUCAGAACCCAGAAGUUUGAAUUCCUUGCUCUGUGCUGGCUAAGAUGGGAAAAUAGACUCUUCUUUUGAGAGAAAUAACCUGAUUUUGAAAGAAACAUAAAGGAUUCUUUUUUUUUUCUCAAGUUAAUAUUCAGUUCAUAAAAAUGGAAUUUAGAAUAAAUUCUCCAAGCUUUGAAUGUUUGAAUCAAUUUAACUUUGACUAUAAAAACCCAUCUGAAACUACAAAUUAAUUGGGGAAGAAGGGACACACUUCAUUAAGGAUUUUUUUACUUAGCUGGAGUCUCUGUUGUGGUGCUUCUUAAAUCAGAGAAUAUUUCUGGUACUUUAAAACCAUUUCAUUAUGUGAAAGAGAACAUUCUGGCUGGGCAUGGUGGGGCACACCUCUAAUCUCAGUUGCUUGGGAGGCCGAGGCAGGAGGAUCACAAGUUAAAAGCCAGCUCAACAACUUAGUGAGACCCCAUCUCAAAAGAAAAGAAUUCAAAGGGAUGGUGGUGUUGCUCAGUGGUUAAGCACUCCUGGAUUAACUUCUCAGUACAAAAAAAGAAGGAAAAAAAGAAAGAAAGAGAGAACAUUCAGUUCGUGAAGUCUGGCACCAUAUACCUGGCCACUUGAGACCCCUGGAACUGACAUCAUGCUAGUUCUGGGAGGGACUUUGAGUCUCCACUCUUCACUUUAGAAAGGAAGAAACUGUGGUCUGGAGAAAUUUCCUGACUUUUCACAUUGCAAAGUCCAGUGUCCAGUUUUCUCCCAUUACCGUGCCUCAUGUGGUAUCCAAGAUCCGGGACUCCUAGUUGGAACUCCACCUGGUCCUCAGCUGCCGUCAAGGAUGCUUAGUCAGUGAUCCCGUUUUUUGGAUUUCAUUUGUGCUGUUUCUUUGUUUUAUUAUGGAAAACUUUCAAACAUUGAAGUAGAGAAUAUAAUCUAGCUCACUCCCAUGCACCCCUCACCUGGCUUCUACAAUGAUUAACUACAGCCAAUACCCAACCCUGUUUCCCCUCCAGCCAGAUGAUUUUAAAGCAAAUCCAAACCUCCUAUCAUUGCAUCAGUGACUACUCCAUGUGUAACUUCUUCCUAUCGACCUGACAUGGGAAAGCUGGGCAGAAGAUGGUCCCUCUGCUGGUAUCAAAGCCCUGGGCUGGCUUUCCCAUCGGCUGUCUGUGCUGGUUCGAGGCCCCUCUGGGGAGGUUCAGGGGGUCCGGUUGGCAAAGAGAGACGAAGGCUGGGCUUUUUGAUGCUGAGGUCCUAUCUUUUCUCUAAGGACCUGUAGCUACCCCUGAUGAAGUGCUACCUGUUUGCAGGGUGUCCUUCCAGCUGGGCCAUCGCCAACCUGCUUAGGAGAGCCUCGGUCCCGCAGCACGUGCUCAGGGGCGUGCAGGGGAGCCUGUCCUGAGAGCUUCCCAGGAGGGAACAGGUAUACAAGUGGAAGAGAGUGAACCUGGGCUGUGCCCCCAAGGGCGACAAGAAUCCUUACUGCCUGCUGUGGAGACACCCUUCCGCAGGGGAGGUAUUUUAGACAUUCAUUUGACAAGUCAUUCAUCUGUGCUAGAGAUGGUUUACCAAGAAUACUAACUUUGUAUGUUUUAUUUCCACCUGGAAUAGAGUUGAAGUUUCGUAUGGUAAAUUCGGAACCAAUCUUUACAAGGAUACUGAAGAGGAUUCCAACAAGGGAAGAUCGGCAUGCCCAUCAUGUCUUCUAGGCUGUCGCUACUGCCUGUCCCUUUUCCCCAGCAGCAGGAGAAAGCAGAGCCAUGGGAUUUGGGGAGCAGGGAGAGGAGAGAAAGUCGCUUCACAGCGCUGGCUUAACUGGCUUCCUCUCCUCUUCUGGAACCACGGAGCUGCCUGUGAAUCUGUAACUCAGUCCUCCUGCCUGGUUGGGAACCUGGGUGACCUUAGCCAGUUUCUCCCAGCCUGGCUUCUAAGCAGUCCUUUCCUCUGGGGUUUAGAUGCUUCUAUGGGCAGAUGAGAUUAUGCCUAGGAUUUCCUGCUCAAUCUCAUGGUUCCCGAGUUUGAAUUUAACCUCUUAGCACAUUAUGGUCUCAUCUACCUUAAGGGAAAGAUGGUCUCACCGGGAGCAGCACCAGUUGCUCUUCCAACACAGGCAAAAUGCCACCAACCACACUCUUCCAUUCCUCCAUGUGGGAUACGCCAGGAGUGUCUUGGGGAAAACAAAGAAGACAGAGAAAACAAAGAGAUGGAGAAAACAACGAAGAUGAGACCCAGAGGUUCUUGGGGGCCACAGACAGGUGUAUGUAAAACUAUGAUACCAAGAGGAAACGUAGCCCAGGUGAGAAACAGCCCUGCAGCUGCAAGUGCCCUCACUAGCUCCAUGUUCUAAUGAGCUUAGUUGAACCACCAGAGGAGAAGAUGAGCAUAGUUAUUCUCGGGGUGGAGAUUACAAGCUGACCAACAGAACCAAAAAGUAGCUGGAACUUCUGCUGGGCCACCUGAGGUCCGGAAGCAAUUCCAUAUAGCAAAGAGCAUGCUCAGACCCAACACUCAGGAUACCCAGACCCCAGUUGGGUCUGCUGUGAAUAAGGUAAGUAAAGGCUGGAGGGACAGUUCAUUCAAUAGAUUUAUUGAGCACCUGUUAAUAGACGUGGAGAUGGUUAUUUCCAUGAUAAGGAUACAUAUGUUCCUUCCUCCCAGGUCUGUGACUUCCUUAUUCUAUGCCUAUGUUUCUACAAAUCAGACUUAAAUGAUAAUCAGAAUGCAAGGCACCAGGCACAACUCCCUGGGCUAAUUUCUCCUCAGAUGAGAAAAACUGCAGAUGGCUCUAGAACCCCUGCUUCUUCCUGAACACCUUCAACCCACAGGCAUCUUGCCUGCAUAGCUACAUAGAACCUCAUGCUCACUCUGGGUUGGAAAUCAGGGUUUGAACAGAAGCUGGCGGCAAGGGAUGGGUCCUGUAGGCAUGGGUGCACUCGGGAGCACAGAUGCCAGAAAAGACCUCGAUUCUCCUGAGAACGCUCAUCUCCUGGCCUGUCCUGGAAAGCAGAGUCUUGUUCUACGUGUUCUCUGAAACGCGGCUGCCCUCCAGAUACCCGGGCUCCCAAGGGUGGAGGAAAACCCCACCGCCCUGAAGAGGGCUCACGCGGAGCACACAGGGCCCUGGGCUCCGAGGCAUACAGACAGGCUCUGCAACAAGGAAAGCCCCCAGGACUCAGGGCAGACACCCACCACCCUGCCUCUUGGCCUGGCUCUGUGCUUUUUCCCAGCCCACAUUCCUAAUGCAAACCAGAUGCCACCUCACCCCCACCCCCACCUCGCCCUUCCCCUUCCACUCCUGGAGUCUGCGCAUGGGCUCGACUCCACCUUGGAAAUGCCAGGCCUUCUCUCCAUCAGCCUUGGCCUCUUCCAGCAACAGCUCUCUACGGGGGCACCGCCUCCAAGAGGCUUUCUGAACUUCUUUGUGACACCCAGCACACCAUUUCCCAGCACCUACUCAGUCCUCGAGCUCUUGGGCUCUAACAUGGAAAGCUCAGCUCCCUUCAUCUGGUGUCCCCUCUUGGUGCCUUUUUCCUGUGUUGCAUGACCAGUGAGAAGACUGUCAGGCAUGGUCACAAGGGGCCUGAGCAUCAAAGGCAAGGGUAUCCUCCAUGGGGUGCAUGGGGUGGGUGCCCAUGCCAGAAGGGUCAAGCAAGAUGCACUGGGUUGGGAAGAAAACAGUAAAUUUCUAUUGAUUUUAAAAAUUAACACCGUAAGGCAGGAGUUUUAGUUAAUAAUCGUGUAUCAAAAUUGGUUCGCUAAUAGUGACAAAUGUAUCAUGGCAAUGUACUAUAUUAAUAAUAAAAAUGGGGUCUGGGGAACACGGGACCUGCUGUACUAUUCUUGAAACAUCUCUGUAGAUGUAAGCUUAUUCUAAAGUAAAAACUUAAUUGAAAAAUCGUC